CAGUGUCUCAGCACGUGCCUCUCGCUUGAUUUUUGUCAGGUGCCGCAGGGAGCCUCGGAGGGGCAAAGCCGCGUGCCGACGAGCAGUCAGAGAAGGUGCUGUGCGGCCACCUUUGUGACCGGAUGGCCAUUUGAGGUGCCACGAGGGAUGACAAGCUGCAGGGUCAGUCUCUGGACCGAGCAGG